GACGAAACAGCUUGAGCCUGAAACACUCAUGGGAGGUUCAAUAGGGAUGAGAUAUUAACACGGCCCUUCACACUUCAUGCGAGGUUCAACAUGGGUUGGAUGCUCAGACACCAUCUUAAUAAAUUGUGCUGAGCCUACUCACCCAGAAGCUAGCUUGAGAGGGCAGGAUGUCCAAGGCAGAUUACGAUGUCUCAAACAGAUGUGCCAUAUUAACAGUUACAAAUGAAAUGAUUCAGAAUCCAUAGCAGGCGACUUCCAGCGGUAUCUUCCCAAGUAACUUGGUUCCCUUUUCUUCACUUCAAUCUUGUAUUGAGCUCCACUAUCCUCAUCCAUCUCUUUAUAGAACACAAUCAUAUCACCGGGCUUCAGAUCCUUACUGCGAACGAACUGAAACCAGUUCCCAAAAACAACUGGUUUCGAAAA
rnacentral:misc_RNA from 1 species